rnacentral:rRNA from 1 species
GUAGGUGGCAAGCGUUGUCCGGAAUUAUUGGGCGUAAAGCGCGCGCAGGCGGUCCUUUAAGUCUGAUGUGAAAGCCCACGGCUCAACCGUGGAGGGUCAUUGGAAACUGGGGGACUUGAGUACAGAAGAGGAAAGCGGAAUUCCACGUGUAGCGGUGAAAUGCGUAGAGAUGUGGAGGAACACCAGUGGCGAAGGCGGCUUUCUGGUCUGUAACCGACGCUGAGGCGCGAAAGCGUGGGGAGCAAACAGGAUUAGAUACCCUGGUAGUCCACGCCGUAAACGAUGAGUGCUAAGUGUUAGGGGGUUUCCCGCCCCCUUAGUGCUGCAGCUAACGCAUUAAGCACUCCGCCUGGGGAGUACGGCCGCAAGGCUG